AUUGAACGCUGGCGGCAUGCCUUACACAUGCAAGUCGAACGGCAGCACGGGUGCUUGCACCUGGUGGCGAGUGGCGAACGGGUGAGUAAUACAUCGGAACAUGUCCUGUAGUGGGGGAUAGCCCGGCGAAAGCCGGAUUAAUACCGCAUACGAUCUACGGAUGAAAGCGGGGGACCUUCGGGCCUCGCGCUAUAGGGUUGGCCGAUGGCUGAUUAGCUAGUUGGUGGGGUAAAGGCCUACCAAGGCGACGAUCAGUAGCUGGUCUGAGAGGACGACCAGCCACACUGGGACUGAGACACGGCCCAGUCUCCUACGGGAGGCAGCAGUGGGGAAUUUUGGACAAAGGGCGAAAGCCUGAUCCAGCAAUGCCGCGUGUGUGAAGAAGGCCUUCGGGUUGUAAAGCACUUUUGUCCGGAAAGAAAUCCUUGGCCCUAAUACGGUCGGGGGAUGACGGUACCGGAAGAAUAAGCACCGGCUAACUACGUG
rnacentral:rRNA from 1 species